rnacentral:rRNA from 1 species
AGUGAACGCUGGCGGUAGGCCUAACACAUGCAAGUCGAACGGCAGCACAGGAGAGCUUGCUCUCUGGGUGGCGAGUGGCGGACGGGUGAGGAAUACAUCGGAAUCUACUCUGUCGUGGGGGAUAACGUAGGGAAACUUACGCUAAUACCGCAUACGACCUACGGGUGAAAGCAGUGGAUCUUCGGACCUUGCGCGAUUGAAUGAGCCGAUGUCGGAUUAGCUAGUUGGCGGGGUAAAGGCCCACCAAGGCGACGAUCCGUAGCUGGUCUGAGAGGGUGAUCCGCCACACUGGAACUGAGACACGGUCCAGACUCCUACGGGAGGCAGCAGUGGGGAAUAUUGGACAAUGGGCGCAAGCCUGAUCCAGCCAUACCGCGUGGGUGAAGAAGGCCUUCGGGUUGUAAAGCCCUUUUGUUGGGAAAGAAAUCCAGCUGGCUAAUACCCGGUUGGGAUGACGGUACCCAAAGAAUAAGCACCGGCUAACUUCGUGCCAGCCGCCGCAGUAA